rnacentral:rRNA from 1 species
UUGGUGGGGUAACGGCUCACCAAGGCCACGAUGUCUAGGGGUUCUGAGAGGAAGGUCCCCCACACUGGAACUGAGACACGGUCCAGACUCCUACGGGAGGCAGCAGUGAGGAAUAUUGGACAAUGGUCGGAAGACUGAUCCAGCCAUGCCGCGUGAAGGUUACGGUCCUAUGGAUUUUAAACUUCUUUUGUAUGGAAGCAAUAAGGUGCACGCGUGCAUCGAUGAGAGUACCAUACGAAUAAGCAUCGGCUAACUCCGUGCCAGCAGCCGCGGUAAUACGGAGGAUGCAAGCGUUAUCCGGAUUUAUUGGGUUUAAAGGGUGCGUAGGCGGAUUAAUAAGUCAGCGGUGAAACUCACAGGCUCAACCUAUGCCGUGCCGUUGAAACUGUUUAUCUUGAAUGCGGAUGCUGUGGGAGGAAUGUGUAGUGUAGCGGUGAAAUGCAUAGAUAUUACACAGAACACCGAUUGCGAAGGCAUCUCACAAAGCCGUGAUUGACGCUGAGGCACGAAAGUGUGGGGAUCAAACAGGAUUAGAUACCCUGGUAGUCCACUACUGUAAACGAUGAUAACUCGCUGCCGGCGAUAUAUAGUCGGUGGCCCAGCGAAAGC